rnacentral:rRNA from 1 species
UACGGGGGGGGCAAGCGUUGUUCGGAAUUAUUGGGCGUAAAGGGCGCGUAGGCGGCUUUGCAAGUGACGGGUGAAAUCCCUCGGCUUAACCGAGGAACUGCCUGUCAAACUGCAUGGCUUGAGACCGGGAGAGGUGAGUGGAAUUCCCAGUGUAGCGGUGAAAUGCGUAGAUAUCUGGAGGAACACCGGUGGCGAAGGCGGCGUCCUGGACCAAUACUGACACUGAGGAGCGAAAGCCAGGGGAGCAAACGGG